GGAUAUAAGCUCAGUUGGUUAGAGUGUGGUGCUCAUAACACCAAAGUUGUGGGUUCGAUCCCCGCUCAAUCCC
rnacentral:tRNA from 1 species